rnacentral:rRNA from 1 species
UUCUCCUGGGAAAAAGGGUGGUAAUGCCGGAUGCUCCAGUUGAUCGCAUGGUCUUCUGGGAAAGCUUUCGCGGUAUGGGAUGGGGUCGCGUCCUAUCAGCUUGACGGCGGGGUAACGGCCCACCGUGGCUUCGACGGGUAGCCGGCCUGAGAGGGCGACCGGCCACAUUGGGACUGAGAUACGGCCCAGACUCCUACGGGAGGCAGCAGUGGGGAAUAUUGCACAAUGGGCGCAAGCCUGAUGCAGCGACGCCGCGUGAGGGAUGGAGGCCUUCGGGUUGUAAACCUCUUUUAUCGGGGAGCAAGCGAGAGUGAGUUUACCCGUUGAAUAAGCACCGGCUAACUACGUGCCAGCAGCCGCGGUAAUACGUAGGGUGCAAGCGUUAUCCGGAAUUAUUGGGCGUAAAGGGCUCGUAGGCGGUUCGUCGCGUCCGGUGUGAAAGUCCAUCGCUUAACGGUGGAUCCGCGCCGGGUACGGGCGGGCUUGAGUGCGGUAGGGGAGACUGGAAUUCCCGGUGUAACGGUGGAAUGUGUAGAUAUCGAAAAAAAACACCA